GCAAGAUUCUCCAGGAAUCCCUCUAUACCACUUAGUUUUUCUAGUUAGUGAUGAUUUUGGUCAUUCGUCUUCUUGCCAGUGUCAGCUGUCACUUCUCAGUCAGUAGUCUUAAAAAAUAAUAAUAAUGUACAUUCUCAGAAGUAUCCUACCUGCCAGGUACCACAUAUUGAGACUUCUGGUGUCUUUGGAAAGCUUGGCUUAGAACAACAGGAAUGUCAGGGGCUGGGAGACAGCAAUUUAUGUCUCAGCCGAAAUAAGGUGGCAGAUUUCAUUCCUAUGAUGGAUCAGAAAGGAGGCAAGAUUCCUGUUAAGGACAGAGGACCAGGUAGUGCUGCCCACAGAGGUCAUUACCACAUUUUGAGGACCUAAAAUGUGACUUCACACUCAGAGAACAGCCCCUCUUAGUGCUUGACCAGAAGUGCAGACUUCUGGUGUGCACAGCCCACCUUCCACCUGCCUGCACUUGGGCAGCUUUCUGGACAGGAAGUGAGCUACCUGCACUUCAAGUAUCUUUCCUACUGAAGUGUAUCUUCACUGACUUCAACUUACCAACA
rnacentral:lncRNA from 1 species